rnacentral:rRNA from 1 species
AGUGAACGCUGGCGGUAGGCCUAACACAUGCAAGUCGAACGGCAGCACAGUAAGAGCUUGCUCUUACGGGUGGCGAGUGGCGGACGGGUGAGGAAUACAUCGGAAUCUACUUUUUCGUGGGGGAUAACGUAGGGAAACUUACGCUAAUACCGAAUACGACCUACGGGUGAAAGCAGGGGAUCUUCGGACCUUGCGCGAUUGAAUGAGCCGAUGUCGGAUUAGCUAGUUGGCGGGGUAAAGGCCCACCAAGGCGACGAUCCGUAGCUGGUCUGAGAGGAUGAUCAUCUAUACUUGUACGUAGACACGUUCCAGACUCCUACGGGAGGCAGCAGUGUGGAAUAUUGGACAAUGGGCGCAAGCCUGAUCCAGCCAUACCGCGUGGGUGAAGAAGGCCUUCGGGUUGUAAAGCCCUUUUGUUGGGAAAGAAAAGCAGCAGGUUAAUACCCCGCUGUUCUGACGGUACCCAAAGAAUAAGCACCGGCUAACUUCGUG